AACGAGGCCGACCUGCGGCUGAGUUACCUGCGGAAGGAUCAUUAACCUUUCAAAAAACAGGGUGCGUCGCGGCCCCCCUCCGGGGGCGGUUUGGGGUCCUCCCCUUCACGCGCGCACGACUGCAUCCUUACUUUACGAGCACCUUCUGUUCUCCCUCGGCGGGGCAACCUGCCGUUGGAACCGAAUAAACCCUUUUUUGCAUCCAGCAUUACCCGUUCCGAAACAAACAAUCGUUACAAC
rnacentral:misc_RNA from 1 species